rnacentral:rRNA from 1 species
UAGAGUUUGAUCCUGGCUCAGAACGAACGCUGGCGGCGUGCUUAACACAUGCAAGUCGAAUGCGAGGCGGGUCUUCGGGCGCGUAGUAGCAUGGCAGACGGGUGAGGAACACGUAUCUGACUGGACGCUACAGAGGGGGAUAGUCCUGCGAAAGUGGGUUGAAUACCCCAUAAUCUGCAUCGGGGAGCCGGUGUAGGAAAGUUGGCCUCUGCGAGCAAGCUGAUGCUGAGCGACAGGGAUGCGGCCUAUUAGCUAGUUGGUGCGGUAACGGCGGACCAAGGCGACGAUGGGUAGCUGGUCCGAGAGGAUGAUCAGCCACACUGGGACUGCGACACGGCCCAGACUCCUACGGGAGGCAGCAGUGGGGAAUUUUGCCCAAUGGGCGCAAGCCUGAGGCAGCAACGCCGCGUGAGUGAAGACGCCCUUCGGGGUGUAAAGCUCUGUCGAAGGGGACGAAGUCCGGGAGGUGAAGAGCCUGCCGGGAUGACGGUACCGUUGGAGGAAGCCCCGGCUAACUCCGUGCCAGCAGCCGCGGUAAGACGGAGGGGGCAAGCGUUGUUCGGAAUGAUUGGGCGUAAAGCGCCCGUAGGUGGUGCAGCAAGUGGCACGUGAAAGCCUCUGGCUUAACUGGGGAAGGGCGUGGUAGACUGCUGGACUUGAGUGCCGGAGGGGGAGGCGGAAUUCCUGGUGGAGCGGUGAAAUGCGUAGAGAUCAGGAAGAACGUCAGUGGCGAACGCGGGCUCCUGGACGGACACUGACACUGAGGGGCGACAGCGUGGGGAGCGAACGGGAUUAGAUACCCCGGUAGUCCACGCCGUAAACGAUGGGCACUAGGUGUGAGCCUGGAGACCAGGUUCGUGCCGGAGCUAACGCAGUAAGUGCCCGUCUGGGGAGUACGGUCGCAAGGCUGAACUCAAGGAAUGA